UACGAGGGGGGCGAGCGUUGUUCGGAAUUAUUGGGCGUAAAGGGUGCGUAGGCGGUUUGGUAAGUCUUGUGUGAAAUCUACAGGCUCAACUUGUAGUCUGCACGAGAAACUGCCGGGCUUGAGUAUGGGAGAGGUGAGUGGAAUUCCUGGUGUAGCGGUGAAAUGCGUAGAUAUCAGGAGGAACACCUGUGGCGAAAGCGGCGCACUGGACCACAACUGACGCUGAGGCGCGAAAGCUAGGGGAGCAAACAGG
rnacentral:rRNA from 1 species